GGCAACGAUCUCAGAACGGGGAAGAGUGGGAGCGGCGAUCCUGAGGUCAGGGCGAUCCUUCCUCGAGUCUUCAGCUCGUCGAAUUAGGGCGUCAACAAUCGUUUCUUCGCUUGUGGUUGUAUUGUCGCUGUAUUAGUGCCAAAUUCCCGUCCCAUCAACGUUUCUUUCCAUUCUUUAUUUAUAGCCGCUUGUUUAGGGCGUACGACGAGGGUAAUCCGGCCAAUUCCCUCUGUUUAAUGCGAUGAUCUGUCCUUUCUCCAGAACAUUCAUUUUCAAUGGAUUGGGCUUUGUUUGUAACGGGCUUUGACUUAUAAGUCGAAAUCGAGCUGUCAACUCUUUUUGGGCCAGAAUUGAGACUUGUCCAAUUCUUCCCUCAACACGAUAGUUCUGACAAAUUCAUCUUAGCGAUGUCUCUCGUCUCGUGAUAUAUCGAUUUGUUUGACUUGUAAUGUAAUAUUUUUUUAAAAAUCUUUUUGGUGGUCUUUCUUAACAAUCGGUGAAUUUUAUCAUAACCUAU